rnacentral:rRNA from 1 species
GACGAACCGUGCGAACGUUAUUCGGAAUCAUUGGGCUUAAAGGGCGCGUAGGCGGAUGACCGCGUCGAGUGCUGAAAUCUCCCGGCUUAACCGGGGAAUGGGCCUCGAAACGGGUCGUCUCGAGGCGAGGAGAGGGACCUAGAACAUCCGGUGGAGCGGUGAAAUGCGUUGAGAUCGGAUGGAACACCAAUGGCGAAAGCAAGGUCCUGGACUCGUAUCUGACGCUGAGGCGCGAAAGCCAGGGGAGCGAACGGG